rnacentral:rRNA from 1 species
UAGGGAAUCUUCGGCAAUGGGGGCAACCCUGACCGAGCAACGCCGCGUGAGUGAAGAAGGUUUUCGGAUCGUAAAGCUCUGUUGUAAGAGAAGAACGUGUGUGAGAGUGGAAAGUUCACACAGUGACGGUAACUUCCCAGAAAGGGACGGCUAACUACGUGCCAGCAGCCGCGGUAAUACGUAGGUCCCGAGCGUUGUCCGGAUUUAUUGGGCGUAAAGCGAGCGCAGGCGGUUUAAUAAGUCUGAAGUUAAAGGCAGUGGCUUAACCAUUGUUCGCUUUGGAAACUGUUAAACUUGAGUGCAGAAGGGGAGAGUGGAAUUCCAUGUGUAGCGGUGAAAUGCGUAGAUAUAUGGAGGAACACCGGUGGCGAAAGCGGCUCUCUGGUCUGUAACUGACGCUGAGGCUCGAAAGCGUGGGGAGCAAACAGG